CACUUUGAAUCUGCAUUUCAUCGUAGCGUUGUGGUCUGACAUGGGCUCUGGAGCCAGAGGAUUUGGGUGAGAAUCUGGCUCCUUCCGUACUAGCUGUUGGAAUGUAUACGUGCCACAUAACCUCUCUGUGCUUCAAUGUCCUCAUCUGUAAAAUAGAGAUUAUACUUUGCAGGAUUUCUUAGCGGUUUAAAGACGUUAAAACGGGUGCAUGCUUAGAAUGGUGCAUGACACAUGGGAGUGUUCAAUAGUCGUGGCCAUUACUCCUAAGAUCUCACCGCUCACAGAGGGAGAUGGCAGUCAUUCAGGCCAUAGGGGGAACAGGAGGUUCAUUUGUAGGAUGAGAAAGUAGGGCAAUUAAAAGAAUAUGUGCUUGGGUUUAGGAGAGGAGAAGGUCCUGGCAACUUGGUUCUUCCCUUACAGCCACUGAGCCCCGACUCCAUUCCAUUCAUCAAGGAUACAAGAGAAUCUGCCACUCACACAUCAUGUAAGGGUGAUGGGAAAACAGAGAUCCUUGAGGCAUGGAAUCCACAGUGUGCUUCAGGAGGUGAAACAAAUAGAGAAAAACAAAGAGUCUUAGAGCAUGAAAAACACCACCAAAACUUAAGAAGACUCAUUAAGUUGUGGGUAGGAAGGUCAGAAAAGACUUGUGUGUUUUGGAGGAGAAGGUGUUACAGGUGUCAGGAACAGUAUGGAUCAGAGCAGGGAGGCAGGAAAGCUUCGCCUUUAUGUGAGAACAGGGCAGGGUCUAAUCUGGUUGGGGCAAACUAGGAUAAGAAGGGUUGCUUUGGGCUACCAAUGGAGAGAGGAAAUGAAAAACGAAGGUGAGACUUGGCACGUUGUCGACAGGCAACAGAGGGUCACUAAAGGUACCUAAAUGGGGAUAUUGGAGGUCAAAUCUUGUUAUAUUUUAAAGCUAAGAGAAUCUAGUGGGUAAGGAAGACAGAGGAGUCCAAGAUUACAACAUAUUUUUCUACCUGGGUGACUGAGGACAUGGUGAUAUUUGCCAGAAAUAGGCAAGUCAGAAAAAAGGACUGGUUCAGUAACAGAAAUUGCUCUGCCGGGACAGUUUUGGUGGCAAAUGUCAGUGAGUCAUCCCAGUGGCAGUGACCUGCCAGCUGUUGGAAAUGGAGGCACCAAAGAGAGAGGCUGAGGACAGGGAUAUGCAUUAGGAGCUAGCUCCAAAGACAGUCAUAGAAUGGGAAUGUAUCAUGGCACAGGAGGGGACUGAGGGAGAAGGGAAGAGGGCUAAGGCUAGACCUUGGCAACAGAACACUGAUGGGAAAGACAGAAGAAAUGGAGCCUGAGGAAGGCUAAAGAGGAAUAAUUACUAAUGAGGAGAAGCAAGGCAGUUCCGUGUCAUGGAAACCACCAAAAAUGGAGACGUCAAGAGGGUAAGACCCAAGAAAAGCCAGUGACCUCGGAGAGGCGUCCGCAUAUAAUUCUGGGAUGAUGCCAUAUUGCUGGGUCCAAAUAAUUUUUGAAUUAUAUGGAAAAAAACCCCAGACUGUGUGAGGACCACAUGUUUAAGACUAAGGGAAAAUAAGGAGUGAGAGAGUAAGGUAGUGCAAGGAGGAGGUGGCUCAAAGGGUUAUGGGAAACCCGAGGUGCUUUGUAGAAUGAAGGGAAAGACGUGACGUGAGCUCACUCAGUCCUGCCUACCUUCCUAAUGCAGGAAACUAAGAUCAGAAAAGAGAACAAGAGAAGGAGGCUGGAUGGUUUGCCGGAUACCAGAAUAUGAAGAAAUUGAUGUGAGUGGCAGAAACGGGGAGUGGGAGAAGGCAUAUAUAAACUCAUCACUGAGAAAAGAAAGAUUAAUUACAAAGUAGAAUCAGUUGAUUAUGAACUGAAUACUGAACCAGUUAAGAUAGCUUAACAGAAAAUAUUUAUUCUUAAGGCACGCAACUUAGACGAAAUUAAAUAUAUUUAAAAUGCUGGGGAGGCAAAGGGGAAGCAGGUCAUAUUUCUCCAACCCAGUCCUUGAUCAGUGCUGUGACUUUCUGGGAGUUCCUAACCCCUCUCCGUCUCAGAGUCUCACCUGCAUAGUAGGGAUGGUAACACUUCCCAAGGUUGUUGCAUUGUCCUAAGGACUGGAUGAGACAUUCAGGAACCUGAAUGCAUGAGAGCUGUUAUCCCAGCGUUUUCCACGUUGUAAGCAGGUGCUCAGUAAAUACUGGUUAUCAUUGCUAUAAGCUUUUCUUGGCUGUGUGUUAGUGCAGUCUCGGGGGGGAGUCGUUUGGCAACUGGGGCCCCGGGAUUUAGCUGGACAAAUGCUAACACUUGCCCUGGAUAGAUAAGUGCGGCUAAUAUAAAAACGAAUGAUUGUAUGUGACUUCACAAAAGAGAAAAGGGAAGAGAAGGGGGAGACUAGAGAAAUAAUAGUGUGUGUGUGUGUGUGUGUGUGUGUGUGUGUGUGUAUGGUACAACUAGGGAAAGACCGCACUCGAUGACUGGUAGAAAUGGACGCCACUGAGCCACUGCACAGCUGGCUUCAGUACCGGAAACCCAACCAAGUUGUGGCUUCCCAGUUUGCGCUUGUGAAUAUUGGUGCCCCUUUUCAACUCCCCAGGCAAGGCUGCAAACAUACAGUCUAGAGUCUCUCUCAUUUCGACUUUGUAGCAAUGCCCUUCUAAUCAAUGCCUACCGAUUCUCCUCCUGCCUGCCCCCUACCUCAAGAAAUGAGAGGACUACUGAGAGCAUCAGCCCCAAAGAUUUGGUGUUCGGCUCAAAUUCAUGAUCUACCUUCUCCAAGUGUCAGCUUUCUCCUCUCUGAUGAUGACCUACUAUGCACCAUUUUGACUGUCUAUGGACUUACAGAACUUACCUCUCCAAGCAGGUGCUCUUCUGGGGUAUGGUGAUCAAGUAUGCAUUGAUCUCACCCAGAACCUUCCCUCUUUUGCAUCAUGUUUUUUCCAGUCCAAGGACGCCUUCACCCUGCCUCAUGAGGCAGCUUCUCUUUGGCACCACUCCUCCCUUCAGCCACGAUGUCGGAGUUCCUGAGCCCUGCCUCGUGUGCAUGAGAGUGCGUGGGGGUGGAAAUGCAAUCUCAUUGAAAAAUUAACUGAAACAGCCGCUGGCAAGCUCCGCUACAAAGUAACUUCAUGCAUCUCAGUCUUCAAAAUGAUUUUUGGACAAUCUUUUGUUUAUCUCCAGCAUUGCUCUUCUCCAUUAGCAGAAAGAUACACACGCAUUAGCUUGUGUGUAUCUACAGGGACGUCUCCCUCUCUCUCCCCCUACUCUUUCCACCCUCCCCACCCCCAAAAGCUGACGUGUUAAUUAGUGGGGAUAGUGCAUUGUUCAAACUGUCACAAUGUGUGAAGAAGCCAGACUGAAGAUGAGGUAGGCCAUCAGCAUGAAUUCCGUUCUCCAGGAGAGAUGGGAAAUUCUUGCGUGCCAGAGAGAGUAAUCACUUUAUUUCAGUCUCAGCUGCAUACCGGGUUUCGUCGGCUACUGUAAGGUUGAGUAAUCCCAGAUUGCUGGGGCUGCUCUCCCAUGCAUUAAAUGAGAGAAUAUGCAAAUGCUAGGUAACCUGUAAGUGCUGAAUAAAGGUUAUCCUUUUAUCCUA